rnacentral:sRNA from 1 species
AGCGGUUGGUAACUGGCACGGGCGUCGAGGUUUUCCUCUGCGCCCGUGCCCGCAUGUUAGGGGCAGACAAAAAAGA